CCUACGGGAGGCAGCAGUGGGGAAUUUUGGACAAUGGGCGCAAGCCUGAUCCAGCCAUGCCGCGUGUGGGAAGAAGGCCUUCGGGUUGUAAACCACUUUUGUCAGGGAAGAAACGGCUCUUACUAAUAUUAGGGGCUAAUGACGGUACCUGAAGAAUAAGCACCGGCUAACUACGUGCCAGCAGCCGCGGUAAUACGUAGGGUGCAAGCGUUAAUCGGAAUUACUGGGCGUAAAGCGUGCGCAGGCGGCUUUGCAAGACAGAUGUGAAAUCCCCGGGCUCAACCUGGGAACUGCAUUUGUGACUGCAUGGCUAGAGUACGGUAGAGGGGGAUGGAAUUCCGCGUGUAGCAGUGAAAUGCGUAGAUAUGCGGAGGAACACCGAUGGCGAAGGCAAUCCCCUGGACCUGUACUGACGCUCAUGCACGAAAGCGUGGGGAGCAAACAGGAUUAGAUACCCUGGUAGUCCACGCCCUAAACGAUGUCAACUGGUUGUUGGACGGCUUGCUGUUCAGUAACGAAGCUAACGCGUGAAGUUGACCGCCUGGGGAGUACGGCCGCAAGGUUGAAAACUUAAGGAAAGUUGACGG
rnacentral:rRNA from 1 species